UAAAGUUCACUUUCCACCUCUUAUUCUUCUUGGUCCCUUUAUUUGGUAUCUAAGUCUUUCUGCUGCUCUGUCUUUUCUCUAUGUUCUCUUUCUUUCUAUCUUUCCGUGAAUUGAUCCUUUCUCUAUGGUAUUCCCAUAGACUUAUAUCAUAUCCGUCAGUUGUCAGGCCUCCAGUCACUCUAUCUCUGCACUUGUUGGUCAUGUCCUGCUUUUGUUUACUUCCACCCUCCCAGUCUUUGCCCUCUUCUGCCCUCAGUUUGCAUCCACUUUUUGUCUCCUCCUCCCUUGUCAGGUUUUCUUCCUGCCAAGUUGGCAGACUUUCCUUUCUUUCGUUGCUAAAGCUGUUUGUUUAUGAAGAAGCUACAGUCUUAGACUAAACAAUGCUUUCAAGGUCAGCCUUCUACUGACUACAAAGACAAUAUUUACUAAAAUGCUAAAAACAAAACAGCCUAGUAACUGAAUCAACAGCAUUUUUAAAAAUCAACAUAAAAGCAUGGAGCAGAGUAAUUCCCCUCUGAGCAGAGCAGCAGGGAGGAAGUUACGCUGCCUGAGAAGGGAUUCUAGCAGCAUCUUCACUGGUUGUGAAGAACGCGUUCCAAAGAGGCCAUCAGAUAAAUUGGCCAAGAUGUACAAGGCAGAGUGAGUACUCAAAACCAGAGCUUCUUGGCUGGCUCCUGAAAAUGGGGGAGACCCUCCUCCAUGAUCCAUCCCAGUGGAGGACACCAACUAAAGCUCCAGGAUUGUCCAGCAGUUUUAUUUGCUUUUGCAAGUAGGUGGUACCUUUGGCUAAGAUCACACAUUCCUCACUGACAAAGGCAGAGGUACCAGCCAGCCAAGGAGAGGCUUCCAGGGCCUUUAUUCUGGCUAUGGUCUCUGUCCUGUGUGAUUAAUGUGUAUUUUAUAGAAAUGCUUUGAUGUGCAUCUUUGAUGGAACUGCAUUUUAAUGUGUUCACAGAAUUUUAUAUAGUAUUUGUGUUUUUGACUGUGCUGUAACCCACCUUGAGCCAUGAGAAGAGGGGGGUAAGAAAUAAAAUUAUUAUUAUUAUUA